GACGAACGCUGGCGGCGUGCUUAACACAUGCAAGUCGAACGGAAAGGCCCUGCUUGCAGGGUGCUCGAGUGGCGAACGGGUGAGUAACACGUGGGUGAUCUGCCCCUUACUUUGGGAUAAGCCUGGGAAACUGGGUCUAAUACUGGAUAGGACCAUGCUGUAGGUGGUGUGGUGGAAAGAUUAGUUUCGGUAAGGGAUGAGCUCGCGGCCUAUCAGCUUGUUGGUGGGGUAAUGGCCUAUCAAGGCGUCGACGGGUAGCCGGCCUGAGAGGGUGGACGGCCACAUUGGGACUGAGAUACGGCCCAGACUCCUACGGGAGGCAGCAGUGGGGAAUAUUGCACAAUGGGCGCAAGCCUGAUGCAGCGACGCCGCGUGGGGGAUGACGGCCUUCGGGUUGUAAACUCCUUUCAGCCAUGACGAAGCCCUUGUGGUGACGGUAGUGGUAGAAGAAGCACCGGCUAACUACGUG
rnacentral:rRNA from 1 species